UCGGGUAUGGUGUAACGGCUAACAUUGCCGCCUCUCAUAUAGGAAUGCUAGCAUACUCGUGCGCGGCAGCUCGGGGUUCGAUUCCCCGUACCCGAA